UUAGAGGCAAACGGGUGGACCCGCAAUACGUCGACCCGGGGGAUUCAACCAGGCCGUGCGUUCGGGACGCGUGGGGGUUAUGCGGAGCUGUAAAGCCCGUGCCUUUGCGUAGGUCUCCGGGCGGACUGGUGCACUUUCCUCGGGUUGAUUGCCACGACCGGCUCUCCGUGCGACCACAAGCCUUUGCUGGGAAGGUGACCGUCGGCCUCCGCGCCGGCGGUGUUAUAGACCAGCUUGUUCGUUGAGCUCGUCGGAGGGCCGAGGAAGUGUUGCCGUUUCUCAGCCACCCUCCGGCCAUCCUUGCUCGUCACGACUGGGGUGAACUGCUUCGUCAGUGCUCUCCCGACCGCGAGCGUAGGAAGGGCUGGUACGGUGCGAGAAAGCUUCGGGCCAGUGGCGAAUCGGUCGGUCCUCCAC
rnacentral:rRNA from 1 species